rnacentral:rRNA from 1 species
CAGCCGCCGCGGUAAAACGAAGGGGGCUAGCGUUGCUCGGAAUGACUGGGCGUAAAGGGCGCGUAGGCGGUUCACGCAGUCAGAUGUGAAAUUCCUGGGCUUAACCUGGGGGCUGCAUUUGAGACGCGUGGGCUUGAGUGUGAAAGAGGGUCGUGGAAUUCCCAGUGUAGAGGUGAAAUUCGUAGAUAUUGGGAAGAACACCGGUGGCGAAGGCGGCGACCUGGUUCACAACUGACGCUGAGGCGCGAAAGCGUGGGGAGCAAACAGGAUUAGAUACCCGUGUAGUCCCUGUCUCUUAUAC